rnacentral:rRNA from 1 species
UACGUAGGGUGCGAGCGUUGUCCGGAAUUAUUGGGCGUAAAGAGCUCGUAGGCGGUGUGUCACGUCGGCCGUGAAAGCCCUGGGCUUAACCUGGGAAUUGCAGUCGAUACUACUCAGCUAGAGUAUGGGAGAGGGUAGUGGAAUUCCCGGUGUAGCGGUGAAAUGCGUAGAUAUCGGGAGGAACAUCAGUGGCGAAGGCGGCUACCUGGCCCAAUACUGACACUCAGGUGCGACAGCGUGGGGAGCAAACAGG